rnacentral:rRNA from 1 species
CCCUGCCCUUUGUACACACCGCCCAUCUCUCCUUGUGACUGAAUGGUCCAGUGAAGUGAUCAGAUCACAGUGAUAUUAGGUGUUUGCUUCCCAUAAUGCUGUAAGAAGUCCAUUGAACCUUAUCAUUUAGAGGAGGGAAAAGCCAUAAUAAGGUUUCAGUAGGUGAACCUGUGGAAGGAUCAUUA